rnacentral:lncRNA from 1 species
AUUAUUUUGGGUGAUUUUAAUAUCCACGUCCGCUGCCCUCUGAAACCACCGGUGAGGGACUUUAUGAAUAUUUUAGACUCAUUUGGACUACAGCAGUUGGUAAACGUUCCCACACAUGCUGACUCGCACACCCUGGAUUCGGUUUUAUCUUUUGGACUGGAUGUGCAUGAUUUAUCUGUGGAUCCUGUGGCGUUUUCCGACCAUGCUGUGAUCACGUUCAGCAUCUCACGUCUCCUUCCUCCAGCCCGGCGACGGUCUGCUCGUUACUCCUGGCGCUUAUCUCCGAGUACGACUUCCAUCUUUCUGUCGGUUUUGGACACUGAUGCCCUCGCUCCGCCCUUGUCGGUUUCCUGCAUGGAUGUAGGUGGCCUUCUGCAUCGGUUCAGUGUGACCUGCUCUGCUGCUCUGGACGCUGUUGCCCCUCUGAGACCGAGGUGGAAUCAGACAACAUCUGACCCUUGGCUUAAUGAUGACACCCGUAGCCUCAGGCGACAGUGUAGGGUGCUGGAACGGAGGUGGAGGAGAGACAGACUGUCAUGCUCUCGGCUGCUCCUGGUUGAUGCACUUUCACGCUACCAGAGAACAGUUAGAUCUGCUCGUAACAUCUACUUUUCUGCUAUCAUUUCACAGCAUCAUGGAGACCAGUCCAGGCUGUACAGCACAGUUAACUCCCUGCUUCUGUUAAAUGAGUCUGAUGGUCUAAAUCCCACUGUUGCUUUAUGCACAGAGCUACAGAGCUUUUUCCUCAACAAGAUCCUUGGUAUUAGGCUUAGCCUCCAGCCUCAAAUACACACUAUCCACAUGGAACCGCCUGACCCACCUGCCUUCUCAGACUUUGCUCCAGUUCAGCUUGCUGACUUGAUGAAACUGAUUAGCUCCAUGAAGCCAGCUGGCUCUUCGGUGAACUGCCUCCCGGCUAAAUUGGUGCGUGACUCGGUGUCUGCGCUGAGCCCGGCACUCAUGAACAUUUUUAACAUUAGCCUCAGCACUGGAGUGUUCCCUAAGGUUUUUAAAGAUGCGGUUGUUCAGCCGAUAUUGAAGAAACCUGGUCUGGAUCACUCCACUUAUGAGCACUUUCGCCCUAUUUCGAAAGUCCCGUUUCUCUCGAAGGUCCUUGAGAAAAUUGUGCAUGGCCAGAUCUCUGCUCAUAUGAAUAGCAACUCGUUGCUGGAUGUAUUUCAGUCAGCCUUUAGACCAAACCAUAGCACUGAGUCUGCUUUGAUUAGGGUGCUAAAUAACAUUCUGGUGGCAUCCGACUCUGGGUCUAGGGUACUGCUGCUCCAGCUGGACCUUUCAGCGGCUUUUGAUACGGUCGAUCACCAUAUUUUACUGGAUCGGCUUGGGUCUUGGGUUGGGGUGACGGGGGUGGCGCUUAAAUGGUUCCGCUCCUACCUAUCAAUCCUUACCAUCUCUGUACAGAUUGGUGACUGUGCAUCCUCCUGCUUCCACUGCCUUGGGGGGUGCCACAGGGUUCCGUUCUUGGGCCAUUGCUGUUUUCAAUCUACCUUCUGCCUCUGGGCAACAUCCUGAAUCAGCAUGGCCUGAGCUACCACAUCUACGCUGAUGACUGUCAGCUGUACGUGGAAAUGGACGAGAAGAAUGCGGGCUCGUGAUUGGCUGCAUGUUUAGAUGACGUGAAGGGCUGGCUGGCAUCCAACUUCUUAAAGUUAAAUGAAAAGAAGUCUGAGUUUAUUGUUUUUGACCCCCGCAACCACCAUGGCUCUCACCCUGUUUGUGACCUUUUAACCCUUAACCCCAAACAGUGUGUGACGAGUCUCGGGGUCAAGCUGGAUGCUGGACUCACAAUGGCCCCACAGAUAAACUCUGUAGUGAGGUCGUGUUUUUAUCAGCUUCGCCGCCUUACUCACCUCAGACGAAUCCUGAAACGGAGGCAUUUGGAGUCAGUCAUUCAUGCAUUCAUUACCUCUCNNNNNNNNNNNNNNNNNNNNNNN